CACAUCAGUUUGAGAAAAAACGUUGUGUUGAGGACAGUCUGGCCUUGCAGUGAGACAAUUCAGCACAUCUUUUGAGAUCAUAGCCUUAAUCAAAUCACUCAUUCUUUCUAUAAAUUUUAUAGUUGGGCCACUGUCUUCCAGUUCAGGAUAAAUGUUUUUCUCUUUCAAGUACUUCAUGGAAGAGAGAACACUACCAAAAAACUGUUGACAAACAAGAGAAGUGUCUUGGAUUUCACAUCAAAAAGGUAUCUAAUAUUAGUACUGUAACAUUUUAUGAGUUCACCUCAAAUGCCAUCUUGACAUUCAUCUUCUGGUGGUUUGAUGGCUUUAAGUGAUCAGAACGUAAAGUCCAACACUGUUUGAUUGCAGUUUUUUCAUUGUGUUUUAUGACAGUUUCCCAAUGCGAUGACUUAAUUAUUCCGUCUGGCAACUGCAAAAAGAUUUAAGAUAAAACAACUUGUCAGUAUGUUUUGACCAGAUGGGGAAAAUCCGAAGCAAACCAGAGCUUUUGGUUUUUAUCUCCUGGGUGCUCUGUGUGUGAUGUAUGGAUGUUUACCCCUGAAAGCUUCCACAUUGUACGGUUCCAUCGAGCACCAUCCGUUGUCACAAUGUCAACUAUAAACCCUUGGUUAUAGAGAAGGACAAUAGCCUCCACAACCAUCUUUCUUAAAAUAUGUCCUGGCACAGCUACUGAACUUAGAAAUGCACCUAAGGAGGGGUGUACUUCCCAAGGUCUACAACCCCAUGAACCUCGCACAUGUCAGCUCUGUAGUUCAGAAGUGCAUCAAGCUGCAUCUCAUCGAGUAAUAGGCAUCCUGACAAAUGGUAGAAAAGGUUCGUUAAAGUAACAGCUUAAAAUCUUAAAAUUAACAUCAGGCUUAUGUUUGGAGCAUACCAUGCUUUUCAGACUUGUCAAAAUUUUUUCCUUUG